AUACGUAGGGUGCGAGCGUUGUCCGGAAUUACUGGGCGUAAAGAGCUCGUAGGUGGUUUGUCGCGUCGUCUGUGAAAUUCCGGGGCUUAACUCCGGGCGUGCAGGCGAUACGGGCAUAACUUGAGUACUGUAGGGGAGACUGGAAUUCCUGGUGUAGCGGUGAAAUGCGCAGAUAUCAGGAGGAACACCGGUGGCGAAGGCGGGUCUCUGGGCAGUAACUGACGCUGAGGAGCGAAAGCAUGGGUAGCGAAAAGGAUUAGAUACCCUGGUAGUCCAUGCCGUAAACGGUGGGCGCUAGGUGUAGGGGUCUUCCACGACUUCUGUGCCGUAGCUAACGCAUUAAGCGCCCCGCCUGGGGAGUACGGCCGCAAGGCUAAAACUCAAAGGAAUUGACGGGG
rnacentral:rRNA from 1 species